UACGAAGGGGGCUAGCGUUGUUCGGAAUCACUGGGCGUAAAGCGCACGUAGGCGGAUUUUUAAGUCAGGGGUGAAAUCCCGAGGCUCAACCUCGGAACUGCCUUUGAUACUGGAGAUCUUGAGUCCGGAAGAGGUAAGUGGAACUGCGAGUGUAGAGGUGAAAUUCGUAGAUAUUCGCAAGAACACCAGUGGCGAAGGCGGCUUACUGGUCCGGUUCUGACGCUGAGGCGCGAAAGCGUGGGGAGCAAACAGG
rnacentral:rRNA from 1 species